GAGCCGCAACUCCCUUGACCCGAACCCUAACUCCAAUCACGCUCCAUCUAAUUCCUUUCUCCAACCUCCUGGCGGUGCGACGGUCUUCCUCUUCCGCGACCGCGUGACCCAGCCAUAGCGGCACAACCUACGGCGCUGGAGCUCGAGGCAGCUGCUGCUUCCUCUACGACCAAGCGACAGCCUUCCUCUCCUCUGGCCGCUGCAAAUCUGAAUCCAGCCUCGUUUUCCCUCUCAGAUCUGAAGUCACCCACCCAACCCUGUAUCCCACAUCUGACAUCUAAUUGAUGCGUGUUGGUUCAUCUCCCAUCUCGUUCAUGCGUGCGUGUUUUUUUAGAUGCUGCUACUGUUGCUUGGUUCUUGGUUGUAGCCUGGAGGUCAAUUAAAAUUGAUAAUGUUGGUUCUUGGUUGCACGCGCCCAGCAGGCAGCAGCAGCGCACGCGAGAAGCAAGCAGCGGCGACACCAACCAGCAGGUAGCGACGACGCACUCGGCCAGCAAGCAGCGGCGCAGUCUAUGGCCUGAUGCUUUCACUGCAGCUUCCUGUGCCUCAGGUCCGUCGGCGAAGCCAACCUCAUUCCCUCUCAGAUCUGAACUGAAGUCCAUGUCCAAGUCUCCAACAACUUCCAAGCCACCGACGAUGCUGGUGUUCUUUCUAAUGUGUAUAUCUAAGUGUUGUCGUUCUCUGCAUGAGUGGAUCUCCACCGAUCUUCUGUCUGGAUGUUGAUUGAAAUUGUUUAUUGAAUUUGUGCAUUUUUAAAGGGAAUUUGUGUUAUUAUUAUGUGUACAAUUUAUUAAUUGUUGGGCCUCGGCCUUUCGGGCUUUUCGUCAGGCCGGGCUCAGGCUUUAGGUUUACUGCUCGGGCUUUUACAAGCCCCGCCCAAAACUGGGCCCGGCUCGAGAAAUACCCAGGUAUAGGACAGAACAUGGCGCUUGAUGAGGGGCUACCUCGGCAAUACCUUGACUCAAGGGUUUUCGACUGAGGGACAGCACGGGGUGCACCAACGAUCUCGUCGAUUAAAAAGACUAGAGGAACCGCAAGGUUUAUCUAGUUUCGGGACCCUCGGAAGGUGUUGCCGGAGCUAGAGGAACGUGGUCGAUGACGGGAUCGAGGACGAACCUUGGGAGAAGCUGAGGUCGAGAGAUCAAGGUCAUGCGUGACGUUCGUGCGAAGACACAAUGGAAGUAAAGGCUACGAUGAUUCGGGAGGGCACCGGUUUGUCGUACGUUGUUUAUACCGAAGAUGUAAGAUAUUGGAGAUGUUCGACACGUGAUGGUCGAGUUUUGAAGACAUUACAAGAAGAGUUGAUGACAUGGAGUGGCAUUGACGUGAAGACAUGAAGGUCCAGCUGUGGCUAGAUGAGGGUUGUUUAAAUAUUAAACAGUAGCGUCAUCAAGAUGGUGUCCGAUGGAAAAGUGGUCCACAUGAAAGUUGUGUGCGUCGUCGAGGCAAACAACUUUGCUUUUGAAGUCAUCUCAAUCGGAGAUUGUAUGUGGGCCGCACAGACAGAAUACCGACCGGGACAGAGGAGUUCGUGUUGGAUUCAGACUCGGUCUAGUGUCGUGAAUUUUCCUUUUUAAAUAGAAAGCGUCCUAGUAGGGUUUUAGAAAGGACGUGAGGAAACUCGGAGCUUUGGAUCUAGAUCAAUUUUUGGAGAGUUAUUUGAUGCAUGGUUGCAUCUUUU